UUAAAGUGAUACAUUGCUUUGAAAAUAUAGAAUGAUAUGAUAUUCUAAGCAGUAAAGUAAUGAGGAUAAACAAUUGUUUCCAUAGAACUUUUGUAACAUUUUUAAAAAUGGGUUAAGAGAAUGGCAGUUUACCAUUGACAUUGUGCCAUUUCAGAUCUAUGCAUACAUAUCACUGCUCAUGAUUGAUGUAUGCAAAUGGAAGACCUUCUUGUUUCUUAGUUUUUCCCUAAUUAUUUUUUUUUCUUAUGCAUUUUUGUGCAUGUGAGUUCUCGAGAACAGCUUUGCUGAUUUUUAUGAAACUUACAGAACGGAUAUUGAUCUGCAAUGGGUUAUUGCAAUUUUUCUUGAUGUCGUCAUUUUCAGUUUUAGGAUAUUGAUGUUUUAAUGAUUUUAAGAGGGUCGGCUUGUCAAGGGAUUUUCUCCUAAAUGAAUAAAGAUAUUAAGAGUCAAAAUCAGCAAGCAUCGAGCAUUUUGUGAAUAAUACGGAAAGUGACAUAAAAACAAUAAUGAUUAAAACACAUAUAAAGAUAAUCAGAAUGAAGAUUGUAUUAAAAAUAUUUGGGUAAUUUUUUUAUUAUUGGUGUUGUUACUAUGAAAACCACGUGCUUUUAGACUGACUGAUUUGUACUUCAUUUUAACAUGAAAAUUGUUGUAUAUACAAAUACAAUAUUAUGUUAAAUCAUCUUAAAACUCUAUCAAUAAUUUUUUAUACUACAAAACACUUUGCUGUAAUCUAAACAUUAUUAAGAAUUUACAUUUACUUCAUCCUUUGAUAUUUAUACCCGUUUUAUCUGGUUAAUUUUGCAUGCAAACACCAGUCAAUUUAGUGCACUUUUUAUAACAUUCUACAACCAUGUCAAGGUUAACAAACACUACAUAUUUAUAUAAUGACAUUUAUUCUAGAAGAAUCAAUUAAAAAAUCUUUAGGCAAAUCACCCGUUUAUAAAUAAAUACCGAUUUUAUACACCUGGAAACGUGCAAGUUUUACUCUAAUAACCUCCCUUUAACAUGACUCUCUUACGAAAGGAGGUAAAAACGGCAUUUUGUUUACAUUGUUUACAUCCAAUAUUUCAACGGAGCUGAAGUGAGACGACUAUGGAUUUUAGUUUCUGGAUUAUAGAAGUGUUAAUUUAGUUCAUGAUCAUGACAACUUAGUGGGUUGUAAACAGAAAAUGUGUCACAUGCAAGCCAAAUGAAUCAACUCAAAUGAGGAUGGACACAAAAAUCCACCAUGUCUACACAAAAAUUGAAAUAUUCACACCAGACAGAUCAGAGAAAUGCUUGAAAUAUUUAAAUUUUGCAAAAAAAGAGGGUGAAUGUGAAAUUGCGAAAAAACAGACCAACGAAUGCAACGAAUUAAAAGUAAAGUUGACAAGGGAUGAUUUUCUUUAGCAGAAUUUCUUUCAUCCUUGAAGAUAAACAGCUAUGUUAGCCACUUUGUUCCACAGAAAAGAAGAGCUGGCUUUCAACUAAAACUGAAAAUCUUAUUAUUAUAAAUAGAAUUCAAAAACUAUUUUUAUUAUAUAUGUAUAGGGAUAUUUGGGUUAAAUACAAAGGUAAAAAAAGUAUUUCUGAACUAUUUCAAAGCAAAUGUAUGCCUGACUUAUACUCAGUGUCUACUUUUGAAAAUAAAAUGUGUUCAUUUGUCAAUGCUGAUGCAUAAUGAUUUAUUACCACUUGAUCAUUUGAGUUGUUGAAUUAUUUUCAUUGAAAAUUAUUACAUCUUGAAUACAUGUACAAGAAAAUGAAUUAUGGUAAAAAAUAAAGUUGAUAUUCAUAA